GUCAACAGGACAGAGAGGAGGGAACUGAGAUUACCCUUUGUAGGUUGAGUACAAUGACUUCAGUAGAUAUUCUUUAUGCUUUAAUUAAUUGAAAAGAAACGAAAGUUGAUGGCACAAUGUAAUGACUAUAGAAUAAUGACACCAUCUUAGACUGGUUCCAUAUAAGCCUUGUUUUCAUGAUGCAGUUCUGCCUGCCAUGAGAUUCGUGGCCCAAAAAUAACUGUAGAACUGUAGAAACUCCCGUUGCAAAUGUAGCCAGGUGUAAAAAAAAAAACACACACACACAGUUAUUUGAGUACAAUCACAGAAGAGAGACUGUUUAUUUUCUUUAUCUUUAUUUGUUUUGCAUCGGUAAAGUAUUAGAUGUCCUAUUGCAUUUGAAUGCACCGCUCCGCUCACAUGGUCCCACGUCGGGUACCUAGCUCUCAGCAGCCAAUCAGAGGCUACGCAGGCCACGCUCAGCCUGUCGGCUCAGAGGCGAAGUGCAGGCGCGCUGCUCUUCCGGUCCCUUCUGAUCUCAGCCAGAGUAGCGAGGGCAACUGCAUGCAAAGAGGAAGCGAAAACCAGGAGAAAACCGCGGAGUUUACCUGUGAAAAGGAAAAGAACAGUUGGAGCACUUACCCACUGGAGGUCCGGAGCCAAGUGACUGAACGAAGGAGAGGGUUACGUCGAGAGCCGCGGCAAGGUCCGACAUCGGCGUGUUCUGCCUUGAUACACAGAGAGCAACGGUCAGGUUUUUUUGGAGGACUGAAGAGUCUGAGGUUCAGGACAAACUUCCUGCCGUAACAGAUGGCGAGCCAACCACCCUGAAGAAAGAUCAGCACCGAGAAGAUAUCCACGUACCCACUCAUUCACACACACAUUAUACAUUUAUAUUGCACUACAAAGACCUUUGGAAUCAGGUGAACUUGCAAUAAUCCUACAACAGGAAAACCUGCAACAACUCCUAUUUUACUUAAGGGCCCCAACGGACAUUUUUUUUGUUUCAAGUGUGCACACUGGGUUUUUCUUAUUGUCUUACUGUUUAGGUCAUUAUUUUAUAUUCUGUACAAAUCAGACAAAUUGUUUUAUCCACUGUUAAAAAUUAUACGAGUGGCUACUUAACCAUUAACCCUGCGAUUGCCUCAUUAUUGUUGUUCAGUACAGUGGCUCCUCCCGAAUUUAGUGUCUUCUGAUUCUGGUCCAGGUAUUAUAAAUAGUCCAAGUAAUUAUUACACUGUAAUUCACUUUUAUAUCCCUGAAGUUGGUUACAGAAGUGGCGAGCCAGCCAGGAGCCAUUUGAUUUGAGCAUCAGUAUUGAAGUAAUGACCAGUAUGGAUUUCAUACAAAAGUCUGAUGUCAAAAUUCCAAACGCAGUUAUUGUCAGUGGGAUAACGCAGGUGGCUGAACAAGAUCAACAAAUGCUUGACUUUCUAAAACAGUGUGGUAAAAUUGAGAGAAUCCGUUUGGUUGAUGAUUCACAGUCCGAGUUCUUUCAAAACCUGAUCGUUGAAUAUUCUAACGGUUCAGUCUUAGAAGGUUUAGAACCUCACUUACCGUACACAUGCACAGCACAAGGUGACUCUACUGUUGUCUAUGAAGUUAAGACACUCAGUAGCAUGUACGCUACCAAGGUUGGAAGUAAUGUUACUAAGACAUACUUAGCUGAACUCAAGCAACUAGCUAAGAUGAGCGGCAAAGACUAUGGUGAGGUGUUGAAAGAAAUGAUGUCUCAGAUUGGGGAAGAUGUUGAAGCCAUGCAGCACACAACUGGAAAAUACAAAAGGGGCUAGCAGCAAGGGAUCUGCAGCUAAGCCACAGAGCAGGAUGUCAAAGCCAAAUGAUACAGACAUGCAAAGACAAAUUAAAAAGAAACAGACAUACAAACCCAAGCCCUGGUACUGUUUAAACUGCGGUGAAGACUGGCACAUCGCCCACUGCUGCCCCGUCCCUGCAAACCCCAACUUAGUGGUUCUCAGUUCUCGACCUAAAGUCAGGGUACUGCCAGAUCCAGGCUGAAGAGGCAGACAAACCAAAGACAGCCUUCAUGUGUCCACUCAGAUUCUGGGAGUUCAAUAGAAUGCCUCAUGGUGUGAUGAAUGCCCCCAGUACUUUCCAAAGAGUAAUGGAACGGUGCAUGGGGGAUAUGCAUUUGAAAGAUGCGUUGGUCUUCCUUGAUGAUGUGAUCGUAUUCUCCAGAACCCUUGAGGAGCACGAAGAACUCGGGCACAACCUGAAAGAGCAGCCCCCUUAGUGAACAUUAGGACUACUCGACCUCUUGAGGUCCUCUGUAUGGACUACCUGUCCCUGGAGGCUGACAAAAGCAAAACCAAGGAUAUACUGGUGAUCACAGAUCACUUCACUAAAUUUGCGGUUGCUAUCCCAACACCCAAUCAAAAGGCCCGCAAAGUGUCUGUGGGAGAACUUUAUGGUACACUAUGGUAUCCCAGAGAAGUUACAUAGUGAUCAGGGUCCAGAUUUCGAGUCCCGCACAGUCAAGGAACUCUGUCAGGUAGCUGGUAUCCACAAGGUUCGGACAACCCCAUACCACCCUAGGGGCAACCCUGUGGAACCAUUUAAUCGUACCCUGCUUGAUAUGUUGGGCACUCUUCAAAGUCAAGAUAAGUCCUGUUGGCGUGAUCAUGUGAGACCCCUGGUUCAUGCCUAUAAUUGCACCAGGAACGAGGUGACUGGCUUCACUCCGUAUGAACUGAUGUUUGGGUGCCAACCUCGCUUGCCAGUUGACCUUGCUUUCAAGUUGCCAGUACAAGAGAGUCAACAUUCAUCUCACUCUGAGUAUGUGCAAAACCCAAGGUCAUGUCUCAAGGAGAGCUACAAGAUAGCUAUGGAAAAAGCUGCAAAGAUAGCUCACAAGAACAAAACGAGAUAUGACAGGCAUGUCAUUGCCUCAGACCUGGAACGUGGAGACCAAGUAUUGGUCAGGAAUGUUCGCAUCCGGGGAAAACAUAAGAUCUCAGACAAAUGGGAACUUACUGUCCAUGUGGUGGUGAGAAGAGCAGGCACUCUCCUGUAUACACUGUUAAACCUGAAAAUGAGGAUGGUCCCCUAAGGACACUACACAGGGACCUGUUGCUUCAGUGCGGUUACCUAUCUGUGGAGGAAAACCGUGAGCCGGUGCAAAAGCCAGUACCACGCAGGCCAGGAACCCGUGCGAACCUUGUGGUAGAGGAAGAGCAUUCCUCAGAUGAAGAAGAUGAUGCACUCGUUCCUGUUUGGUUAAGUUCCCCUGGCCCCAUGGUCAGUGAGAUUCCUAUGCACCUGGAUCUGCCCAUGACCCAUGUCCAAGGUGCUCAGCAUGUUGAACUUCCAGGCCCUUGUCCUGUUGAGAGUUCUGUAAAUGCUCAAAAUGAUGACAACCCACCAGAUGUUGACAAGUCACCUGAUCUUGAUAAUCCACCCGAUCUUGACACCCAAUCCGAUUUUGACAACUUAACUAAUAGUACUCCUUUGAUGUUCGUCAAGUCUAACUCUCAUCAGAGUGAUACUGAGUACUUACCCGUCGAUAGAAACACACCAACCGAACAAGUAGAUGAAACCACCUUGAUCCAAAAUCAGUCACCCGAGGAUGAUUAUCCAGACAUCCGAGGAGAGCAGCUCUCAGUUCCCUCAGUUAUGUCUGACAAAGAUGAGGAGAAUGAUGUUCUUAAAGGAGCAGAACCUGAGGAAAGAAAGGAGGAAAUAGGUGAAAUGGAAGGGAAGGAUGGAACAGUCCCAAUGGAUGUAGAGGAGAACACAGAUAUAAAUGAUUCUGUCUGGAGAUCUGGGAGAAACCGUCAACCACCACGACAGCUGGAUUAUACAGAGCUAGGAAAUCCUUUGAUCACAGCAGUGAAAUCAUUCUUUCAAGGACUGUCCACAGCUUGGGCAGAAGUCAUAAGAGAAGAACCUGUUCAACCACUUACCUUGUCACUUGAAUAAUUGUCCUUUAACGGUCUACUAUGCACAGUGACGUGCAUAGGUUCAGGAGGGGAGGGUGUAGCCAGGUGUAAAAAAAAAAAAAAAAAAAAAAGUUAUUUGAGUACAAUCACAGAAGAGAGACUGUUUAUUUUCUUUAUCUUUAUUUGUUUUGCAUCGGUAAAGUGUUAGAUGUCCUAUUGCAUUUGAAUGCACCGCUCAGGUCACAUGGGUACCUAGCUCUCAUCAGCCAAUCAGAGGCUACGCAGGCCACGCUCAGCCUGUCGGCUCAGAGGCGAAGUGCAGGCGUGCUGCUCUUCCGGUCCCUUCUGAUCUCAGCUGGAGAAGCGAGAGCAACUGCAUUUUUAUUUUAUUUCUUUUAAACUUAUCUUACCUUAUUUAUUAUAUGUCAUUUAUUUAUGAUGUAUUUUUUAAUAUCAUGUGUUCUGUUUUAUUGUGUUGCAGUGCAGCUCGAUGUCUUGCCUUGUCUAAGACAAAUUUCUCCCAUGGGAGACAAAUAAAGUGAACUUUGAACUUUGAACAUGCUAAGAGGAAGAAAAAACCAGGAGAAAACCGCAGAGUUUACUUGUGAAAAGGAAAAGAACAGUUGGAGCACUUACCCACUGGAGGUCCGGAGCCAAGUGACUGAACGAAGGAGAGGGUUAUGUCGGCUAACCACUUGCCUUUCACCCAGAGAGCCGCGGCAAGGUCCGACAUCGGCGUGUUCCGCCUUGAUACACAGCAACGGUCAGGUUUUUUUGGAGGACUGAAGAGUCUGAGGUUCAGGACAAACUUCCUGCUGUAACAGAUGGCGAACCAACCACCCUGAAGAAAGAUCAGCACCGAGAAGAUAUCCACGUACCCACUCAUUCACACACACAUUAUACAUUUAUAUUGCACUACAAAGACCUUUGGAAUCAGGUGAACUUGCAAUAAUCCUACAACAGGAAAACCUGCAACAACUCCUAUUUUACUUAAGGGCCCCAACGGACAUUUUUUUUGUUUCAAGUGUGCACACUGGGUUUUUCUUAUUGUCUUACUGUUUAGGUCAUUAUUUUAUAUUCUGUACAAAUCAGACAAAUUGUUUUAUCCACUGUUAAAAAUUAUACGAGUGGCUACUUAACCAUUACCCCUGCGACUGCCUCAUUAUUGUUGCUCAGUACAGUGGCUCCUCCCGAAUUUAGUGUCUUCUGAUUCUGGUCCAGGUAUUAUAAAUAGUCCAAGUAAUUAUUACACUGUAAUUCACUUUUAUAUCCCUGAAGUUGGUUACAGAAACAAAAAAGACCCCUGUAGCCAGAAGAGGCAAAGAUAGAGAAAAAGGAGAGUGAUAGAAACCUCAGACAAACAUCCACUCGAUGCAGAGAGCUCCAGGACUUGAAAUGGUUAAAUACUGACAUUUAGUUGGCAUUAUUUCAAAUUGAUCAGCACAUUACAAACCUGCCUACUUAUUAAUAAAACUGGGUGCUAUACUCUGAGUUUAGCGUUGUUUGAGAUUGAGAUUUGUAGUUCUAUUCUGAUUAGUAUUGUCUUAGUUGGUAGCCAUGCUGCUAGUGCUACUGCUAACAGCCAGAAGAUAAAUCAUGAGCUUCUUCUCUCUCUUUUAUAUACCAUAUAUAAACAAGAAAAGCACUCAGAGAGCGCAGCACUCUGCCAAGGCUGCUCAGUCGUUGUAUGAUUUCGGACAGAUAAGUCCUGAUAAGUCUGCAGUGGUUGAUUUGUAGUAGGAUCGCAAUCAUGUGAUCGUCAGCAGGCCGCUGACAUAACGUUCACUUGUCAUAGUUGCAGUGCCGCUAUGUCACGAUACAGAAAUCUUUAACAGAUCAGUGGAUCCAGACUAUAAGCUGCAUCACUGCCAAAAUGUAAUCAGGUGGUCCUUGUGUCAUUUCUGACUUUCCCUGAAAAUUUAAUCCAAAUCCAUUAGUCCGUUUUUGAGUAAUGUUGCGCACAGACAAACGGACAAAUGUACGCCCAUCGUCACAUAUGUCCACAUUUACUCUGUUGCGUUCCUUGUUGAAGUGAAUAUGGACAUAUCCUCAGGGUCUGGAAAGCAAAGUAAAACUUACAUUUUUUCUAACGACCAGAACAGUUUCAAAUCUCCUUCAAUACAGCAGGUGUUUAUUUUGUAAAUUAUAGUCACAUUUUGAGUAAAAUAGAAGAUAAAGCAGGGUAGAGCUACCUUGUUACUGACAGGUUGCUAUUUUCCUCAAGUUCUCAGUCAGAUUCUCUCCUCACCUGUUAUGUCUUGUUUCAACAGACCAAGCUGGUGACAGCCAAUUUCCAAACUCAAGGCUUCAAAGCAGCAGUCUACAAACUAAUAGAUUAUAUCACAAUCUAUAUUAGAAUCAUGUCCUGUGUUGUUGGUAGUUGUGAAGCUCUGAGGAACAGUGACUUGGUCUCUGCAACUAUGGUGUAUGACUUCCACCAUGUGGAAAUUGAAGGUGGGGUAAAGUUGAAAAAUUGUUGCCAUUUUAAGAAGAGAGCUUUGGUGAGUUUCACGGAUAUGGACAAAACAAAGACACAAUGAUAUACACACCCUGACAGAUGUUACUGGAGCAGAGGUUCAUUCUAUUGUGACGUCUAUACAGUUUGUGACCACCUUACAGAUGAAUCUCAAAUAUAUGUUCUUUUAUCUGGGGUUCAAUGUACACAAAAUAUUGACAAAAACUAUUUGGUUGCUGACUUUCUUUGAACUCUGUUUGGUGCUGGGCAGGUAAUAUACAGUUCUGUGUUUUUGUCAGUAUGGAUGACCAUGUUCAUGUUAAACAGAGUCAUUUAAUCUUGUUUUAUUGUGCUUCCUACAUUUUUUGUCUUUUUCAGUCUCUCUUUGACAGCAUCAUAGUGCAGUAUCGUACCAAUAGUCUGGUAUCUGCCACGCCUACUGACGUGUAACCGUCAGAGGUCUUUGGUUUAUGUGGAAUAGUGUUUAUUAAAGAAAGCAAAUUAAAAAAAAAAACCACAGAAUAUCAUUUGAAAUAAAUUCACAUCCCCUGUCUCUAAAAUGAAGUGAACCAUAAUGUACUUUUGAGCAAUGUGUUAAUGUAGAUUGAAGUCUUUUAGAAAUUUCCAUUAUCACAAAUGUGUCAGUAAGGUUUUGCUGGUUUUACUUCGGGUCUCUUCUGUAGUAUGUUUAGUUUGUUUAUCCUUCAUCAUGCAGCCUUGAAGCCUUUUCUCUUAGCGCCUGUGGACUGUGAGACCUUUAGCGGCUUGGCUGUGCUACAGCAUUUUGUGUAAUGCAUCGCAGUUUUCCUUUUUUUUUUCCCUCAUGCAAAUGCUUUGUGAGUUUAGGACUGGAAAGGCAGUUGAAAUGUAAAAUCCUCCUGUGCCCUUGGGUUGGUGCAGAAAACACAAAGGCAGGGGCUGCUGCCUUUGAUGCUAUUAGCAUAAUGUCUUUCUGAUGCUAAUGCUAAGUGCCUCAGACUGACCGCUGAAGCUUACACGGCCCACAGCCAUGAUGGGCUUACAUGGCUGCUGAUCGCUCUCUUCCUCGCCCUUCUUCCUAGUAUUGUGACUGCUGCCUGCUUGUCUUGCCUCAGCUUAGUGACAGUCAUUCACCUUCUCAACGAGGGUCAGGAGGCGGACCCCCUCUUCCUUCUGUCGCCCUGGUCACCAUGGAAACACCCCUCCCAUUCGCCAUCACCCACCCCGCCUCUCUUCUCUCUGGACAAUGGCCUUUGCUAUGUGAAUGCCGUAUGGUAAAUGUUAAAAGUGUGUUGUGUGUGCGUGUGUGUGUGUGCUGGGGUGUAAUAGGCUCUGUCUCAUCGCAGCUGAUUUGUGUUGGUGAUUCUACAGUACUCCAGGGCUCAGAUAUGAAUUGUAAAACACAUCACAGCAGGAGAAACACUCCUACGUACUGCUCUCUGAACAUCUAUUAACUCCACAAACACCCACGGAGACACACAAAUACAUGCACACUAUCCUGGGCACACAGUGUGUGUCAAGUCAAAGAGCCCUGCUGUGGAGGUGAUCAGGGCCUGAUUGUGUUGCAAACAGUAAUGAGACACACAACACAAAGGCUAGUGAGGUGCAUGACUAUUAUACCUUCUGGACCCACUCAGGGGUGUCUGCCUGAAUGCGUGUGCGUGUCGAGUAAUGGGACGAUAAGGACACUAAAUGAAAACGAUAAAUUAGCCCAAUGAUGUCUGCUGCACGAUGCAGCUCACACCCGUCAACAGCUCUGAUUGAAUUAUUGCGUUUGAAAAAGGCACCACAGAUGGAAAGUUAAUAGAUGGAAAACAUCAUUUUCAUCCGUGCUUUACGGCCCAACUGCCCGUUUGUGUAUUUUUCUCCUCUUCUCUCUCCAUUUUUGGAUUUGCUGUUUUCAUCUGCAGCCAGGCUGAUUUGCUGACAAGCAGUAAGAGUGGGAGUGAACAAGACAGAAAAAGAGACAGAGAGAAGAGACACAGAGAGGGGGGAGGAGAGAGAAAGAAAGUUGUUAUAAUUUCCCUCUGGUUUAAUUAUCUGAGCCUGCAGACAGCCCUACUCUUUCUCUCUUGUUGUUAAAUGUUAGAGGUGAAAAUGUGAGCCGUCUGUGUGUAACACAUAUGUGUGUGCAUGUAUGAGAUAUUCCUUUCCCUGUGUGGGCUAAUGGCAUACACAACAAAGCACCAUGGACAUCGACAUUGCUGAGCAGGGAGUAGUUUUAUCUCACUGUAAUGUUUAAACCUUGCUCAUUACACCCUGAAAAGAGGAAAUCAAUCAUUUUCAUCACCUGCUGACAGUCUGUGAUUACACAAGUCAAUGAGCCAUCAUAUUCAUAGUUGUGAUUUACUGUACUCCUGCGUAAUACUCCCUCUGAUGUACCAGUAUGAUUAGAGCUUCUAAAUUAUUCUGCGUCUUCAAACAAUGCAUGCGAAGACAAUCAGUGGAGAUUCUCACAUUUUUACAGCCUUUGUGAUGUCAGUAUUUGCCAGAGGCGGUUUUGGCCCGAGGCCGUGAUUUUUUUGAGAUGUGAAGGCAAGCUCUGGAGGGUCGGCAGGUCUCUUUGUUUGUCAUAAACUGCGUGUCUCAUAACUGAUGGAUAUAUUAAAUACAAGAGCUGUUAUCAAACAGAAGCAGACCCUUUUCUCCACAGCAGACAUUUUGACUUCUUUGUAGCAAGAAACGACAGUUGUAGCUGAUAACAUUAGCAAGGGCUCAGUCGAGUUAAGUGUCCUAGUUAGGCAGCCUUAAAGGAAUGUGGCCGGUAUUAACCUUAUUAUUUACACCUGUGCUUUUCCUGCAUUGACAUCUAAAAUGUUCGCCACAAAGAUGAUUGCUGUUGUUUUUGCAUUACUGAAGCAGUUCUCAUUUUCAGAUUGAAAUACUAUAUAUUUUACUACACUACGGAUAUCUAACUUCUGCGAUUGCUAGUUUAUUUGCCAUCGUCAUGGUGACUUCUGUCUUGAAAAAAUGGCAUCUUAUACAACUAAACUGCAUGUUCCGUUCAGUGUGGAGAAAAGCAUAUUGUCUCUUGGAUAAUGUUUGUUGUGAUGCAUCAGAAAUAUGAAGUGCGAUCAUAAAGUUCAGAGUCCUGCCACUUCUGCAAGACUCGUUACAGCUUCCGGGAAUCCUUUCACAUAAACCCGUCAAACAUCAUCUGCAAUGAGCACUGAAUCUCCUCAACUGUGUGAAAACGACACAUUUUGCACAAGAGGGAGAAGUUACUGAGAGUUAAAUGCAGCAAGCUGGGUGGGUGGGGGGGCGGCAAUUGUGUUGCCGUCGCCAAAACACCACAGCACUGUGACUGAGCGCAAAGCGAAGCUGUGCUGCAGUUAAGGUUUUUUGCAAUAAACGCUCUCCCUCAGAUGCCUCAAGACACUACAUGAGAACUCUGCCUUGAAAGUUAAACCCUGGGGGAUGAAUUCACAGUGCACAACCAUUUGAAUGUGGUAGAAAAUAACAAGCAUGCUCCUGGUAUGCUCCUGACCUGGACACUGCAGGUUUAUCCUCUGUGAAAGCUGCUGUUUCUUCUCUUAAUGGUAGCUACAGACCCACCUCUCAUCACCAAUGACGAUUCUUGCCAUGAAGCUUGGCUUAUCUCGAGCUGAUGACUGACACAGAAUGUGAUAUACCCUCUCUGCUCCAGCUUGAGGUCCAUAUAGAAAUCUCAGACACACAGGUCACGAUGUUGAUAGUGCGGUGUCUUACGGUCUCCUGAUUUGUGUUGUCGCUCAAACAUACCAUUUGUUUUAUUACUUUACUGCUUAAAGGUCAGUUCAUGCUUUCUGCAUCCACAAGGGCGCACAUGGCAUGAGAUUUUAUCAUGAGGCUGCGUGGACUGACCGCAUGAUUCUCAAAAUUUGUGACUGCACAGAUUGUCCGCACUGCAAGGGUGCUGACAGCAUGUGGCAGGGAAACAAGCGGUGCGUAAAGCAAAAGUUGCAGUUUAAGUAGUCACUGCUUGACUUUGGAGGUGCUUUGAUUUUUAUACAUUCUUUUUCACGAUGGAGCCCAAACAAACUAGGAUGUCCUAAAUUCUCCAGAAAUACCGUGCUAUGUUCAAAACAUGGAAUAAUAACAUUGACAUACAUAGUAUGAAUAGAGGCCGCUUAUUUGUCUGUGCACACACAUAUGGAAAGCAUUAUUUGGCCCUUUUCAAAUGUGCCACAGAGUCAAUUUGAACAACAGACCUAAUGGAAUAAUUUUGGUGCCUAAACCUAACCAAAUAGCAAACAAAAAGAAAAGUGAACAUCAAGUGAGAACAAUACUACAGUCAAAAAAUAAUGGGACCACAUGGGACAAAUGCACCCAGCCCCUAAGGUGGACUUUGAGGCUCUUUGAACCCUAUAACACAGCCUGUUCAAGGCGGAACAUUUGCAACUCUGUUUUAAUGUACAAAGAUUGAAUGGGGGGACAUUGUUGUUGCACCUUUAGGAUAAAAGUGGUGGUUGUCACAGAGCCAAGUCUACAUCUCUGUGAAAGGGUGAACUGGUAUGAAAGAAGUGCAAUAGACACCAAUGCUGUUGUGUUACACAUCAUACCUCUGAUUAUGGCUACGUCACCGUGCUACAUGAACCACACACUGAGGUUGCUUGACGCCGAUUUGCUUGGAUCAGUUUAAAUGAGAAAAAGCAAUCUUUUGAGACAUAACUAUGAACCAUCUUCUUAGCAGCAUUAUACUGCGAUCUCUGUGUUUAAAAGGCUUUUGACAGUGUUUCAGUUUCGUACUUGCUCUUACUACUGGAAACAAAUGCAUUUCUUUCAAAAUGUGAAUCCAAAUUCUGUUUAGAUGUAUAAUAAUGUAUUUUUUUUUGCAGACAGGUUUUCAAGGUUUAGCUGUUUUUAUCAGUUCAUUGUGACACGUGCAGCAUACAUUGCAGGAAACAGCACCCACCACUGAUGUUUGUGAAGAGUAAAUACGAAAAGCUUUCAUAAACCAUGUUGAAGCUCGACUGUAGUGUAACAAUCUGUGAGAAAAAAAUAGAUUACAUUUCAAGGAAAAUGUUGAAAACCAUUUUAUGAUGGCUUUGUGAGAUUAAUAGGCGGCGUCCCAAGUGGUCGAGUGAAAUGUUAAUUUGUUUCUUGAAUAAUUUCCCAUAUCGUCAGCUGCUACACAUAACCUCUAUUGUCCUCAGGGUGUUUCCUUCAUCCCUAUGGACACACACACACACACACACACACACACACACACACACACACACACACACACACACACACACACACACACACACACACACACACACACACACACACACACACACGCCAGGCUCCAUAAAACUCACAGCCACGCCCUGCCUUUGUUUUGCCAUUUGGCUUCAACUUCUGUCUUCUGAUGUGAACCCUGCAGAGGUCAUCACAUAAAUGCCAAGCUG